AACCUCAAAAUACUAUUUGUAUAUGUUACUUACAAUAACAAAGUGUCUUUAUUGACUGGGGUAU
rnacentral:tRNA from 1 species